AAAGGAGGAGCAGCUCAGCAGGCUUGGCCUGGGACAUGGAAGGGAGCCUACGGACAUCUGGACCGACCCCAAAGGAGCUGGUUCUGCAGCUGUCCCAGUGCUUUGAUCCCUUGCUGCUGGGAUGGGGCGUUUGCAGAAGGAUGCACGUGCUGAUGUCCAGCCAGGCUUUGGGGAUGAGUCUACAUAGCAGGACGGGGUUUGCGGAGAAAGAGGUCCUGCAGGCCUGGUGUGGCAGCCACGGAGCUGUAGCGAGGCGGCAUCCGUGUAAAACACCAGAAAUCCACGGGGGUGUGAAGGUGAGCUGUGGGCUCCAGUAACACGGGAGGGAAUGUGCAUGCUCGGGGUUUGGGCGCUUCUGUGUGUUUGGAGUGACUGUGACAGCACUGCUCGGUCAGUUUGAGUGUGUGGAACAAGCGUGACAUCCUUUUUGACGGAGUCCUGUGAAAGGAGUCCUAUGGAUUUGAGGUCUGAGUUUAAGGCUGUGCGCAUCGUCCAGGAGUUGGGGUAGGAGA